UCAAGCGAAUAAGGGUCUACGGAGGAUGCCUAGGAGCUGGUCGGCGAGGAAGGCCGUGGUAAGCUGCGAAAAGCUGCGGGGAGGAGCAAACAUCCCGUGAUCCGCAGGUAGCCGAAUGGGGUAACCCGGAUGCUUAGAAGAGCAUUCACCUUGAGGUGAAUCAAUAGCCUCAAGGAGCGACACCCAGGGAACUGAACCAUCUCAGUACCUGGAGGAAAAGACAUCAAACGAGAUUCCCUGAGUAGCGGCGAGCGAAAGGGGAAGAGCCCAAACCCAUGGUGUGUGAUAGGCUUACACCGUUGCAUCAUGGGGGUUGGAGGGCCGCACUGGGCGCCGUGUAAGGGGCGCCGCGCAGUGAGAAAGUCUCUCUGUAGUGGAACGCUACUGGGAAGGGCGACGAGACAGGGUGAAAGUCCCGUACGCGAAACGGAGAGGCCUGCGUGGGUGUGGAACCUGAGUACGGCGGGGCACGUGCAAUCCUGCCGGAAGCUGGGAGGACCACCUUCCAAGGCUAAACACGAACCAGCUACCGAUAGUGAAAGAGUACCGUGAGGGAAAGGUGAAAAGCACCCCGGGAGGGGAGUGAAAGAGAACCUGAAACCGUAGACCUACAAGCGGUCAAAGCUUAAGAGCGAUCUUGAGUGAUGGCGUGCCUUUUGUAGAAUGAACCUGCGAGUUAUUUUCAGUAGCGAGGUUAAGCGAUUGGAGUCGCGGAGCCGUAGGGAAACCGAGUCUGAAUAGGGCGUAUGCACGAAAGUGCUGUAGUUGCUGGGAAUAGACCCGAAGCCGGGUGAUCUAUCCAUGGCCAGGCUGAAGCUUGAGUAAAAUCAAGUGGAGGGCCGAACCUUAGUCUGUUGAAAAAGGCAGGGAUGAGCUGUGGAUAGGAGUGAAAGGCUAAUCAAACCCGGAGAUAGCUGGUACUCCCCGAAAUAGCUUUAGGGCUAGCCUCACGCGGAUUGUUACGGAGGUAGAGCACUGGAUGGGCUAGGGCCCUUCACCGGGUACCAAACUCAACCAAACUCCGAAUGCCGUAACACAGUACGUGGGAGUCAGACUGCGGGCGAUAAGGUUCGUGGUCGAAAGGGAAACAGCCCAGACCGCCGGCUAAGGUCCCCAAGCUGUGCUCAGUGGAAAAGGAAGUGUGAUUGCCCAGACAGCCAGGAGGUUGGCUUAGAAGCAGCCAUGCCUUCAAAGAGUGCGUAACAGCUCACUGGUCGAGUAGUCAUGCGCCGACAAUGUAACGGGGCUAAGCACAGCACCGAAGCCGCGGAUUCACUUGUCUCUUCGGAGACGGGUGUCUGGUAGGGGAGCGUUCCAUGGACCGAUGAAGGUGUACCGGCGAGGUAUGCUGGAGGGGAUGGAAGUGAGAAUGCAGGUAUGAGUAACGAAAAGAGGGGUGAGAUCCCCCUCCGCCGAAAGCCUAAGGUUUCCAGGGUUAAGGUAAUCUUCCCAAGGGUUAGUCGGCCCCUAAGGCGAGGCUGAAAAGCGUAGUCGAUGGGAAACGGGUUAAUAUUCCCGUACCUCUUGUAAUUUCGAAGGAACGACGCAUGAGGCGAGGCCCGGCCGGGCGACGGUAGUCCCGGUCCAAGCGUGCGAGCCGAUGAGGGUGGUAGGCAAAUCCGCCACUUAAGGUGAGCCGUGAAGGCGAGCGGAGCUACGGCGAAGCGAAGCGGGUAGGAGUCAAGGUGCCAAGAAAGAGUUUCUAAGGAUAGGUUACAAGGGACCGUACCGCAAACCGACACAGGUGGGCGAGAAGAGGAUUCUCAGGCGAACGGGAGAACUCGCGUUAAGGAACUCGGCAAAAUGCACACGUAACUUCGGGAGAAGUGUGGCCUGCUGUGGGAGUCAAAUCUUGAAGCAGGUUGCAGAGAAAUGGCCCAAGCGACUGUUUACCAAAAACACAGGUCUCUGCGAACCAGCAAUGGGACGUAUAGGGACUGACACCUGCCCGGUGCCGGAAGGUUAAGAGGAGGAGUUAGCGUCGCAAGAUGCGAAGCCCCGAAUUGAAGCCCCGGUAAACGGCGGCCGUAACUAUAACGGUCCUAAGGUAGCGAAAUUCCUUGUCGGGUAAGUUCCGACCUGCACGAAUGGCGUAACGACUUGGGCGCUGUCUCAACGCGAGACCCGGUGAAAUUGAAGUAUCGGUGAAGAUGCCGAUUACCUGUGGUUAGACGGAAAGACCCCGUGAACCUUUACUGUAACUUGGCAUUGAACGCUGUCUUGCAAUGUGUAGGAUAGGUGGGAGACUUUGAAGCAUGGUCGGCAGGCUGUGUGGAGUCAUUGGUGAAAUACCACUCUUUGUAGGUUAGCGUUCUAACGCGCUCCGUGAAGCCGGAGUGCGGACCAUGUCAGGCGGGCGGUUUGACUGGGGCGGUCGCCUCCAAAAGAGUAACGGAGGUGCGCGAAGGUCACCUUACACUGGUUGGAAAUCAGUGGAUAAGUGUAAAGGCACAAGGUGGCUUGACUGCGAGAGCUACAACUCAAGCAGGUACGAAAGUAGGUCUUAGUGAUCUGGCGGUAGCGAGUGGAAGCGCCGUCACUUAACGGACAAAAGGUACUCCGGGGAUAACAGGCUUAUCCUGCCCAAGAGUUCAUAUCGACGGCAGGGUUUGGCACCUCGAUGUCGGCUCAUCGCAUCCUGGGGCUGGAGCAGGUCCCAAGGGUUUGGCUGUUCGCCAAUUAAAGCGGUACGUGAGCUGGGUUCAGAACGUCGCGAGACAGUUCGGUCCCUAUCUGCCACAGGCGUUGGAUGUUUGAGAGGAGCUGCUCUUAGUACGAGAGGACCGGAGCGGACGAACCUCUGGUGUACCAGUUAUCGUGCCAACGGUAAGUGCUGGGUAGCCAAGUUCGGACGGGAUAACCGCUGAAAGCAUCUAAGUGGGAAGCCCCCCUCGAGAUGAGACAUCCCUGGCCCAAAAGGGCCCUGAAGGUACCAGAGAGAAUAUCUGGUCGAUAGGCUGGUGGUGUAAGUGCAGUAAUGUAUUGAGCCAACCAGUACUAAUCAACCGUGCGGCUUGACCAU
rnacentral:rRNA from 1 species